AACGAACGCUGGCGGCAUGCCUAACACAUGCAAGUCGAACGAGACCUUCGGGGCUAGUGGCGCACGGGUGCGUAACGCGUGGGAACCUGCCCUUAGGUUCGGAAUAACUCCCCGAAAGGGGUGCUAAUACCGGAUAAUGUCUUCGGACCAAAGAUUUAUCGCCUUUGGAUGGGCCCGCGUUGGAUUAGCUAGUUGGUAGGGUAAAAGCCUACCAAGGCGACGAUCCAUAGCUGGCCUGAGAGGAUGAUCAGCCACACUGGGACUGAGACACGGCCCAGACUCCUACGGGAGGCAGCAGUGGGGAAUAUUGGACAAUGGGCGAAAGCCUGAUCCAGCAAUGCCGCGUGAGUGAUGAAGGCCUUAGGGUUGUAAAGCUCUUUUACCCGGGAUGAUAAUGACAGUACCGGGAGAAUAAGCUCCGGCUAACUCCGUG
rnacentral:rRNA from 1 species